AGCGGCAACAGCUCAAAUUUGAAAUCUGGCUUCGGCCCGAGUUGUAAUUUGCAGAGGAUGUUUCUGGCGCGGUGCCUUCCGAGUUCCCUGGAACGGGACGCCACAGAGGGUGAGAGCCCCGUAUGGUUGGACACCAAGCCUGUGUGAAACUCCUUCAACGAGUCGAGUAGUUUGGGAAUGCUGCUCUAAAUGGGAGGUAAAUCUCUUCUAAAGCUAAAUACCGGCCAGAGACCGAUAGCGCACAAGUAGAGUGAUCGAAAGAUGAAAAGCACCUUGAAAAGGGGGUUAAAUAGUACGUGAAAUUGUUGAAAGGGAAGCACUUAUGACCAGACUUGGGCCGGGCGGCUCAUCAGGGGUUCUCCCCUGUGCACUCCGCCCGGCACAGGCCAGCAUCGGUUCUCGUGGGGGGAUAAGACCGUCAGGAACGUAGCACCCUCCGGGGUGUGUUAUAGCCUGGCGGACGAUACCCCCGUGGGGACCGAGGUCCGCGCUCCGCAAGGAUGCUGGCGUAAUGGUCAUCAGUGACCCGUCUUGAAACACGGACCAAGGAGUCGUCCAUUAGAGCGAGCGUUUGGGUGUAAAACCCGCACGCGUAAUGAAAGUGAACGCAGGUGAGAGCUUCGGCGCAUCAUCGACCGAUCCUGAUGUUCUCGGAAGGAUUUGAGUAAGAGUUUUAACGGACGGACCCGAAAGACAGUGAACUAUGCUUGUAUAGGGUGAAGCCAGAGGAAACUCUGGUGGAGGCUCGCAGCGGUUCUGACCGUGCA
rnacentral:rRNA from 1 species